rnacentral:rRNA from 1 species
CUGCAGCCCGAGUGGUGAUCGAUUUUAUUGAGCCUAAAGCGUCCGUAGCCGGUCUAGUAAACUCUUGGGUAAAUUGGGCAGCUUAACUGUCCAAAUUCCGAGAGGACUGCUAGACUUGGGACCGGGAGAGGUCAGAGGUACUCCAGGGGUAGGGGCUAAAUCCUGUAAUCCUUUGGGGACCACCAGUGGCGAAGGCGUCUGACUAGAACGGAUCCGACGGUAAGGGACGAAACCCUGGGGCGCGAACCGGAUUAGAUACCCGCGUAGUCC